AGCUUGAGACCAGCCUAGGCAAGACAGUGAGAUAUCCUGUCUCUUUAAAACAAAACAAAACAAAAACCAGUAAAUAAUGAGCAUAGAUCCUUUAGGACCAGUGAACACUGAUGUAACAUUUGGUCUGUCUUUUCUUGAAUCUUCUCAAUCAUGUUGUAGGGAAAGCAGUGGUCAUUCUUCCAGCUCAUAAAAUCACAUUGUUAUUGUUACUGUUACUAAAGGAGUUAGGCCCUAGCUUGAAUCAAAAAUGUAAUUAAAAUUACAUUUCUAUUAAGCUUUUGUUGGACUUUCCAUUUAGGAGAAAAACUACAUGUGGUUUCUGAUUGUGUCCUUUGAAUUAAUGAAGGCCUAGGCUGGGAAUCAGAUUCAUACCUUGCUGUUCAAUACCACGUGAUCAUCUCUGUUCAGACAGUAUUUCAGAAACUCCCGUACAGACCUUGUUCCUGUAGUUUACAGUUUGGAGACUUCUAGUCAAUUAUACACAACUGGAUUUGAUAGACCAACAUCUUUAAAGGUCAUAAGAAGGCUUCUAAAGACUCACGUCCAACAUCAGAAAGAUCUGCUAUCUUAGGAGCUGGAGUUUGAAAAUGGCAGCAAGUUAAAAGUCAACUCUAUUUCAAAGAAAAAGUUUCAAACUAUUAAAUUUAACUAACAGCCUCAGUGGGAACCUUACAGUAUUGACCCUGCACACUGUAAAAUAUGUACUGCUUACAAUAAAAAAAAGAUGGUUUAGCACUUGUUUACAAUACAGCAUGAGGUAUUUUCAGCCCUUGUAUAGAAAUUAACCAGAAUCGUUAGUUAAUUAACACCUCACCUUAAAAUUGGUCUCGCCUUGCAUAUUAGGUGCUGAUAUUUCUUGAUGGAUGAUGAAGAGAUGGCGAGCAAAGGUCAUGAGGACCCCCUGGAGAUCCUCGCCGAUUGUUCUGUUAAUGAUAUCCAAACAAAUGAGUUUACCAACGAUUCCCUUCACAUGCUUAAAAACAAUCGCCCUCUCAUUUGUGCCUGUCUGGUGAUGGAAUUUAAUGAGUAUUUUCAAUCUCACAAGGUGGCAAUCUUCAGGGAGAUAUGAAAGAUGAGACUCCAUUUUAACUUGUCAACAAAAAGGAUUUGCGUAAUAAAUAUUUUUUAUUAAUCAA